GCUUCCUGCUCAGCCUUCCACCAGUUUUAUGAGACUGAUGAGUGACAGAGCCUUUCAGUGAUGUGGAGAGCAGGCAAGAAAGCACGUGUCCUAAAUUGCGUAGAGAGUUCAAGCAACGUGAUGACAAAAGCAGGAAUCUCACGGACUCUCACAAAGAGGAAAAGAAAGUGACUUAUUAUUUGAGAAGUCCUCACUGCCUAUGGCUAAAAAAAACAGAUCAGCACUACUGGGGAAGAAAAUGCACGACCAGAGACACUUCUAAGAACCCAAGGUCCUACCAGACCACCAUCGCCCUCAUGCUUCGCUGUGCAUGCUUUUUGCAGAGGACGGCGGAUGCCCUGCGGGAAAUUGCCAUCAGAGCUGGAGUGAUCAUCUCGGAGCCAGACUUUCCAGGUCAUCGCAGAAAGAAUCUCUCGCGUCAGUUAUUUGUCCUUGACAAAAUGGACUAUGAUAUUUCCCAAUGCUUUGAAAAGUUGUGUGUUGACAAAAAUAAACAAAGACUUUUUUUUUUUCUCCUCAUAUAUACAUCUGUCAAUAUUUUACAAUAUUUUGUAAGCAGCCUUGAUACCGGGCAUUUUGGGGCAUCUUGAAUAUACAGAAGUUUUCCCAUGCGUACUGUACAUUCAUUAAUCAUUGCACCAGAAUCCCUUUUCUACCAAAUCAGGUUCUUCCUCCUUAAGUCUUCAACAAAGACAUUUUUUUGACAAAGAUGUUUUUUGAAGGAGAGUGAGCAAACCCAAAGUGAAGUCCAGAGAGAGAAGUUCUACUUACACCGAAGUUACGACCACAACCAUUUAUGGAAUGUUCCUGUUUUUUGUUUGGUCUUUUUUUGGGGGGGGGGUGCCCACAGCAUGUGGAAGUUCUGGGGCCAGGGAUCCAACCUGUGCCACAGUAGUGACUCGAGCCACUGCAGUGACGAAGCUAGAUCCUUAACCUGCUGAGCCACCAGGGAACUCCUGAAAUAGUCCUCUCUUAUCCCCCAAAGGCAGAGAGAGGAGAAGGGAAAGAGUGACAGAGAGAGGAAUUCAACCCACAUUCCUGAUUAUCCAGGCCCUCAGGUCUCUGAGGAAGGGUUUUCUGAAUCAGUAAUGAAGCAUCAAUUACGUUAAGUAAAGGGGCAUUAGAGACGUGAGGAAACCAUGAGUCAUUGAAAGGUCUGGGGGAUUACUAGAAGCCUUACAUUUAGCUUACGAUUUAACUGAUCUCCUUUCAUUUGGUCUUCUGGAUCAUAUUUGAUUUAGAGCUUUUUACAGUAUGAACCAUACAUAGUAUUCUUGCCGUUGACAUGCUGCUUAAUUCCCUGAAGUCUUCAUCAAAUUCCGUUUUAAUAUAUCUUUCAUCACUCUAUUAUAGUCUGUCUGGUGAUGUCAGCUUUUCUGAAGAUAAGUCUAUCCUGCUGGUAUUUUUUUUUUAUUCCUUCCACAGAGUUUGAACUCUAUGAUCUGUGCUCUUUUAUUUUGUAAGGUGUAAACUUUUUCCACACCAAAAGUUUUUUUCAUAAAAAAGACCUGACAUCUCUUUACAGAUGUUAAUUAAUUCCCUCACUGGGAAGUAUUCCAUGUAUUUUGCAUCCUUGGGAAACGGGGACAGAGAGCGAAGUGACAUAUUGAAAUCAUGUAAAAACUCGGCGCCAGAGCUCGAAUUAUUACCCAGGAGAUAAAUUCGCACUCUUCGCUUCAGAGAGCAAUUGUAUUCUGAACUUGACACAAAUAAUGAUCAAAAAAUCAAAUCAUCAAGUAGAAGAGACCUGCCUGAGUUCCCGCCACUGACAUGCAAACCUACAGAGAAACUUACUCUUCAAGCAGGGGUAGCCGCUAAGAUGGACAGUGAAACUCGUAUUACCAAGAUUUUAUUACCGUGUGCAUACACACACACAGCAGGAUUUUUAGUAUCCUACUACGAAGUGUUAUUUGAAAUCAUUAAAACUAAACUGCACCUGUCAAAAUAAAUCAACCAAUACGUUUAGUGAUUC
rnacentral:lncRNA from 1 species